GACGAACGCUGGCGGCGUGCCUAAUACAUGCAAGUAGAACGCUGAAGGAAGGAGCUUGCUCUUUCCGGAUGUGUUGCGUAAGGGUGAGUAACGCGUAGGUAACCUGCCUGGUAGCGGGGGAUAACAAUUGGAAACGAUAGCUAAUACCGCAUAACAGUAGAUGUUGCAUGAUAUCUACUUAAAAGGUGCAAUUGCACCACUACCAGAUGGACCUGCGUUGUAUUAGCUAGUUGGUGAGGUAACGGCUCACCAAGGCGACGAUACAUAGCCGACCUGAGAGGGUGAUCGGCCACACUGGGACUGAGACACGGCCCAGACUCCUACGGGAGGCAGCAGUAGGGAAUCUUCGGCAAUGGACGGAAGUCUGACCGAGCAACGCCGCGUGAGUGAAGAAGGUUUUCGGAUCGUAAAGCUCUGUUGUAAGAGAAGAACGAGGGUGAGAGUGGAAAGUUCACACUGUGACGGUAUCUUACCAGAAAGGGACGGCUAACUACGUG
rnacentral:rRNA from 1 species